CCACGCGUGACCCGUUCGCGCCAACAACGCGAGGCCGCGCCCUGAUAGGCGGAGGCGGUUGUCAAUCACCGAGGGAUGAGGGCGUGGCUUGUUGUGCCUGCGCUCUGAUUGGUCGAGGGGCGAGUCUGUCAGAGCCGUUACCGGGGUGGGGCGUGGCCGUUGAGUGAAUGGCGGGCAUGUUGGUCACCGUGGUAACCGAGGGCGGGAACAUGGCUGCUUCCUGCAUGCUCACUGCUGAUAGGUUAAAAGCACUGUCAAUCAACGUGGCAGAAGCAGAGGGGCGGGGCGCGAGAUCAAAGCUGAAUGUUGAUAGGUUAAACCAACUGUCAAUCGACGACAAAGCCCGGCGAGCGCCUCUCCUAUUGGCUGCGUACGCGCCUCGGCGGAGGGGCCGGGCGGAAGCGGAAGCGGCCGGCGCCGCCGCGGCGGGAGGGAUGAAACCGGCACCGGGGCGGCAGCGGCUGCCGGGACUGUCGGUGCUGCUGCUGCUGUUCCUGUCCUUCCAGCUCCUGGAAGCUGCAGGCUCCAAGGAUGGGAUCAUCACGCUGGAGGAGGGCCACGCGUCCCAGCACCGGGAAUCCCAACGCUUCUGCUACACCAACACCCGUGUCCCGCGGUGGAACGACGUCUGGACCAGGACACAGAUCCGCGUCACCAGCAGCCGGAUGAUCCGCGUCACUCAGGUGGACAGCGAGGAGGAGCUGGAGAAGUUCAGCCUGUGGAACGUGCUGUUCUCCUUCCUGCGGGGCAAACUCAACGACACCAGCAUCGACGUGGAUCUCUACAGCAACAAAACCUGCCUCAAGGUCGAGCUGCUGGAGCCCGGCACCACCUACUCCGUCGUCCUCUUCCGACGUUUUGACCCUAAGCUGUUCCUUGUUUUCUUCCUGGGCCUGCUGUUGUUUUUCUGUGGGGACACAAUGAGCAGGAGCCAAAUCUUCUACUACUCAGCUGGGAUCAGUGUUGGCUUGUUGGCCUCGAUGCUUGUCCUUGUCUACAUGAUGUCCAAGGUCAUGCCCAAGAAAAGCCCUGUGUACUUCCUGCUGUUUGGAGGUUGGUCCUUUUCCCUGUACCUGCUCCAGCUGAUCUUCAAGAACCUGCGGGAGAUCUGCAAGUCCUACUGGCAGUACCUGUUAGGUUACCUGCUGUUGGUGGGCUUGCUGAGCUUCGCCGUGUGCUACAGGUACGGCCCCUUGGAGAACGAGCGCAGCAUCAACCUCCUGUCCUGGGCCCUGCAGCUCCUGGGGCUGCUGCUGAUGUACUCGGGCAUCCAGAUCCACCCCAUCGCCCUGGGCCUGGUGCUCAUCGCUGUCUGCACCAAGAACCUGGAUUACCCCUUGCAGUGGGCCUUCGCUGUCUACCGGAGGGUGCAGAGUUCCAAGCUGGGCCCGACCCCCCCUCGGCUGCUGACAGAGGAGGAAUUUCAGCUCCAGGGCGAGGUGGAGACCCGCAAGGCCCUGGCAGAGCUGCGGAGCUUCUGCCAGAGCCCCGAAUUCUCUGCCUGGACCACGGUGUCCCGCAUCCAGUCUCCCAAAAGGUUUGCUGACUUUGUGGGUGGUGCUUCCCACGUCACCCCCAACGAGGUGUCAGCCCACGAGCGGGAAUUCGGCCUGGAAAGUCUCUCCAUUGAUGAGGAGCUCUUUGAGGAGGAUGAUGAUGAUGACGAAGAGGAGGAAAACAUUCGUGACUCCUCUGAUGGGAAUCACAGGAGUGAUUUCCUGCCCCACAACCAUGUGGAAGUCCAAUGAGGUCAGCUGCCCUGACCUGGCCAAGGAGCGGGACCACUGCUGGGCUGCUCCAGGUGCCUGAGGGUGAGGUGACACACACGAGAGGAACUUUGGACCUGUCCCGCUGGUACCUGCGUGCUCAGCACCUGCCUGGAGCCGUGGUGAGGGAGCUGCCAGUGACCUGCUCCUCCUCCUCCUCCUGUUACAAACACCUCAGAGGACUCCAGCUGGUCGGGCCACACCUCUGCUUGGCCUCAGUCCCGUGUGGAUACCAAAAACAACACCUGGCGCUUCCUCGAUGGAGCUGUGGAGCCUCGGGGUCUGCUGGCUGCCCCUGGAGGUGGUGUUGGGGUAGAGGCCGUGCUCAGCCCCCUCUCCCCAUGCCAGAGCUGAGGAUGAGUGUGGAUAUGCUUCCUCCCUGCCUCUCUGCCUUUCUCCUGCUGUUACUCCUCUCUCAGUGGGUGUGGGCAGCGACUGAGGGUGACCCCACUGAUAUUGCAGUGGGGAGCUCUGCCAAAGCCCAAAGCUGGAGGGGACACCCCAAUCUAUGCAACUUCCUAAGCAAUAACUGCCCUCACCUCCUCGCAGUGUCUCAGCUGCCCUGGGGAUGCCCAGCCCAGCCCCCACCUUAGCUGGAGCUUCUGCCAUCAGUUUGUCCUGUCCCAGGUCUGUCCCUGUCCCAGCCCUUGCUGUGCUUUCCUCCCUGCUCGGCUGUGAGCAGACUCUGUUACUUCGUUCCCCCCCGCCUCAGCGUGUUGGAUGACUGGUUAUAUUUUUAAUAAAGAUGUAUUUUUUA